rnacentral:miRNA from 1 species
CAAAAGUAAUUGUGGAUUUUACCCUUCCUAGGAAGUCUAGACGACUCCAAGGAGAGCCUCUGUGGUAGCUUCAUCUCCUUCACACAUGGCCUUUCCCUG